UGGCGGCGUGGAUAAGACAUGCAAGUCGAACGGGAUUUUUUGUGUAGUAAUACAUAAAAAGUCUAGUGGCGAACGGGUGCGUAACACGUGAGCAAUCUGCCGGGAAGUGGGGGAUAGCUCGCCGAAAGGCGAAUUAAUACCGCAUGUGGCCAGAGGGGACAUCCCUUCGACGCCAAAGUCGCAAGACGCUUCCUGAUGAGCUCGCGGCCUAUCAGCUUGUUGGUGAGGUAAUGGCUCACCAAGGCUUUGACGGGUAGCUGGUCUGAGAGGACGACCAGCCACACUGGAACUGAGACACGGUCCAGACACCUACGGGUGGCAGCAGUCGAGAAUUUUUCACAAUGGGGGAAACCCUGAUGGAGCGACGCCGCGUGGAGGAUGAAGGUCUUCGGAUUGUAAACUCCUGUCAUGCGAGAACAAGAAAGUGAUAGUAUCGCAAGAGGAAGAGACGGCUAACUCUGUGCCAGCAGCCGCGGUAAUACAGAGGUCUCAAGCGUUGUUCGGAUUCAUUGGGCGUAAAGGGUGCGUAGGUGGCGUGGAAAGUUGAGUGUGAAAUCCUAGGGCUUAACCUUAGAACUGCACUCAAUACUCCCAUGCUAGAGGAAUGUAGAGGAGAGCGGAAUUCACGGUGUANCAGUGAAAUGCGUANAUAUCGUGAGGAAGACCAGUUGCGAAGGCGACUCUCUGGGCAUUUCCUGACACUGANGCNCNAAGGCCANGGGAGCAAAACGGGANUANAUACCCCGGNAGNCCUGGCAGUAAACGGNGCACAUUUNG
rnacentral:rRNA from 1 species